CCUACGGGAGGCUUCAUUUUUUCCUCUUUUCCCCUGGGGGGACCCCUGACCCAGCCCUGCCGCGUGUGUGCCGAAGGCCCUCGGGUUGUAAAGCACUUUCAGUGCGCAAGCACGCCUCGUCGUUAACACCCACCAGGAAAGACAUCACUCACAGAAGAAGCACCGGCUAACUCCGUGCCAGCAGCCGCGGUAAUACGGAGGGUGCGAGCGUUAAUCGGAAUUACUGGGCGUAAAGCGCGCGUAGGUGGCUUGAUAAGCCGGUUGUGAAAGCCCCGGGCUCAACCUGGGAACGGCAUCCGGAACUGUCAAGCUAGAGUGCAGGAGAGGAAGGUAGAAUUCCCGGUGUAGCGGUGAAAUGCGUAGAGAUCGGGAGGAAUACCAGUGGCGAAGGCGGCCUUCUGGACUGACACUGACACUGAGGUGCGAAAGCGUGGGUAGCAAACAGGAUUAGAUACCCGAGUAGUC
rnacentral:rRNA from 1 species